rnacentral:misc_RNA from 1 species
CUGCCCUCAAGCCCGGCUUGUGUGUUGGGCCGCCGUCCCCGCCCGCCGCGGGGGGACGGGCCCGAAAGGCAGCGGCGGCGCCGCGUCCGGUCCUCGAGCGUAUGGGGCUUCGUCACCCGCUCUUGCAGGCCCGGCCGGAGCCUCAGCCCGACCCCGCGUCAACAUCUUCCA